GAGAGGUAAGGCCACCAGCCGGCUCACAAGAAAAACGUCCACUCCUGAAAAAUGAAAGCAGUUUUACUCAUUGCUGGUGUGUUACAACCUCAGCUUCCUUGGUGCAUUAGUGCCAGAUCUCUGCCUACCUGCUAUACACGUGCCAUUGCCCGGACUACAGAAUGGUGUCAGCUCUGACAAAAAAAAUUUAAUGGAUAAAUAAUAAGAGGGCGGGGAUGGGUAUGAAAGCACAGCUGUAUUCAAGUGCCAAGAAAAGACACCUGAGUUACUCUGACUGGAGUCACCCUGCUCGAGCACAAACUCCACUAAGCCAUGGAUUAGCACAGCACUGAGCUCAGGUAAGUUCCCUCCAGCACCUAGCAUUGUACACAGGCUAGAUGCGGAGCCAGCUGGGUUCCAGCUUUGUCAGCUCCAACUCAGGCUGUGCUUCUGCUCUUUUGCUGUAUGAAUGAACGAACUUGCAAACAUCUGCCUACGCUAACCCACGUAAGCCCUUUGGUAAGGGGAUCAGGCUGGUACCAUGCUCACCUAAUUCAGAUACAGCAGGUGUGUCUCGGGCUCUGUGACACGCCAGGGCUGACCUUAGAAACACCACUGCUACCUCUGCAGAGUGGCAUCACAGCUAAUGACUAGGGAGUGAGGCACAACCUCCACGGAGCCAGGUCUGGAGUAAGUAUCCCUGACCUCAUUAACCUGGAACCCUGGCAAACUGCUCAGGUUGGGAACUGGCUCUGUUUUCAAAAGUGUAACUGUUUUAUGUUCCAGUCUCUAUAGCAGGCAAAUAGCAAACCAGAGAAAAUACUUUUUCACUUAAAAAUUUUAAGAUUAUUUUAAACACAGUAUCAAUCCAGAACUUAAACAAAAAUACUCUUCCCAUUCAGUAUUAACGGCAACUUGAGGCAUUAUGCUACACUGUAGAAACGGUAGCAGACAUAAGUUGCCCUUAUUUAAGUGUCCACUUAACUCCUUCAGUAAUUUCUGUACGCUCACAAUCCUCACUUAGCAUAUCUUGAUUGAAUUUAAAACUUUUCGCAUUAAAACUGAUGAUAUGCCAGACUAUAAGAUAAAAUAUGAUAUAUUUAUUCAUAUGAAUAUAAACCAGAAUUUUUUAUUUCUUGGCAUUUGAUUACUAUCACGCAACCUAUCAUGUUGGAUCAGUGUAGUUGCUUACUUGCUUAUUUCAAAACAAUUUUAAUAAAUAAUUUGAUAAGACUUCUGGGCACUUGCUGUGAGGUGUUACAGGACACUCAUGACCCAUACCACACUAACGCUGCUUUGCAGAAGUCUGUACAGACCUAGAGAUUAAGUACAAUCCUGGCAAUGUGUGUAGUGCCGCUAACCAGAGAGGAGAAAAAUCCCACCAUCAUUACCUUGUUCCUUCCCUGAAUUCAGCAGCAAGCAAAAAGUUUUUCAAGUUUCUGUUCCUACUUCAAGGAUGAUUCUGGGAAAAGAGCUUAACUAAAUAAGGCUCAUGUAACUUUUGUUUCAUUCUGUCUGUAGUUUCUAGCAACAUUAUGCAACAACAGAGCCCAGAGCUCCCUGGGCUAGUUUUCCCUUUUGUUUUUUAAAAUGUGGGCUCCUGGGGAAUUCUCACAAUUCUGUGCUACAUGUACGCUUUGAUAAAUAAAUACUAAUACUGUAGACAUAUUUAAAGAAAACAGUGAAAUUAUGCUUGAAAGAUAAUUAAGUACUAAAUACCUUGUUCAUAGCCGAUAUGGGCAACCAUCCAUGCUGUCUUUGGGCCAAAUCUAGUACUGCCAUAACAGCUGCAGACUUGUGUCCCCCUGGGUAGCUGCUUAUGAUUGCUUCUAUUCGCUUUUUAACGGGAAAGAGUGGGAAAAACACAUCAGUACUGAUCUAAAGACAAAAUCUGUGUAUUUAACUCUUUUUGUCUGCAUACCUUUUGGUUUUCCGGUGUGAACUCAAAUGGAGUAUCUGGAUUAUUUUCAGGACUAUCUCUAUGCUUCAGGAAAAGAAAAAGAAAACGUGUAAAAAUAGGGUUGUCAGGAAAUUUACUGUUGUAAAAUAUCUUCUCAUUGGACAGUUACAGUUGAGUUGCUUGAAUAAAAUCAAUAAACUCCAGAUAAAAAUUUCAUAGUACUCAAUCAUAAAUUAAGUAUCUCUGGGAAAGUUAUCAAAAAUAUUGGUAAUUAUUUCAUCACUCUUAAAAAUACUUAGUCCUGUUAUUUCAUAUUCAAAAAAUGUUACUUCUUAAUGACAUGGUGUUGUUAUCAAAAUAUACAUUUUUAAACACUCUUAAUACGGUUUGGCAAUUAUGUUCAGACUCAUCACAGGCAGAUUAAGAGUCCUCUGGUUACUACCUUACAAACAAAAAGGGACUAAACCAACAGCCCAUUUUUUUCUUUUCCAAUGAGACACUAACUAUAAAAACUUGAAAAUUCAUCAAGAAGCUUGCUAUAUAACAAAAAUGUUUGUGUAUUGAAACAAAUUAUUAACCCAUUUUAACAUAUUCUUUGAUUUGUAAUGGAUUUCAACAUUUUAAUUUUAGAUACAAUUCUGAAUCAGAGCAGAAGGAGCAGAAUUGUGAAUAUUUCCAAAAUAAGGACCUGUUCUGUGUCUUAGCUGUACAGACCAAAUCCAUGGUUCAUGAUAAGUAUUCUUUUCCAUCUCAAAUCUGCACGCAUGUUUUAUUUCAAGCUGCUCUUUUGCCUUCCAUAGCUAUCUGACACAGUUACAAUUGUACUUGAUCCCAAUUUCUUUUGCAAAUAAGUAUAUUUGAUCUAUUAAAAUUUCCCUCUUUGCCUAGAACAGCUGUUCUUUUCUGUGUAUCAUCUCUCAACCAGUAUCCUUAAAUACCCUACACGUGAAGGAGGAAUAAUAAUUUCCUUAUACCUGAAGCUACAGUUUGCCACACAGUCAGUUCUUUGCACCAAGGCUCCAAGAUUUUACAUUUACAUUGUAAAGGCUACAGCACAGAUAAACACCAAAUGAGACCCUGCCACCUUUUUUUCUUUUCCAUCUUCCUAAAAGGGCUUCAUCUAAUUUUGUGCUGUGAGAGUUUGAUGGUUUUCAUUGAGAGCUUACAGAGCUCUAGGCCUACUGAGCUGUUAGGAUUUUGGCAAUGACAUGUUCUCUAGUAUUCCAUUUGUCUGACGAUACACCAUUUAUCUGAGACUUAGGUGAGCUGAUUUUCUCCUAAAUGAUAAUCAGUGCAUUUCUGCCUUUUUAAGGAUACAGAUUCUGCAGAACAAGAUCAGAAUGAAGGACACAAGUAUUGGAAUGAAUACUAUGUUAAAAAUCCCAGAAUGGUUGAGGUUGGGAGGGACCUCUGGAGGUCAUCUGGGCCAAACCCCCUGCUCAAGUAGGACCACCCAGAGCUGCGUGCCCAGGACUGGGUCCAGACAGCUUCUUCUGAAUAUCUCCAAGGAUGGAGAAAUCCACAGCCUCUCUGGGUAACAUGUGUGAGUGCCUGGUCAUCCUCACAUGUAAAAACAGGUUUCAUGAUGUUCUCUAAGGCCAUUCCCUCUGGUCCUGUCACUGGGCACCACUAAAAAGAGCCUGACUCCAUCCUCUGCACCUUCCCUUCAGGUAUUUAUACAUAUUGAUAAGAUCCCCAGCCUUCUCUUCUCUAACAGUCCCAGCUCUCUCAGCCUUCCCUCACAUAAGAGAUGCUCAUAAAAAGACAGCAGUAUAUUAAGGUUUCCUCCAUACACAAACUAAGUACCAACAAUUAUGUCUGUACCAACUACUGCAAUUUGUUGAAAAGCAAAAUCAAACUCCACCCAUUUUUCCCCAGUUUCCUCUCAUGCUCCCCAAUUUCCUCAAGUCUUACACAACACAUUUUCAUUCCAAGCAUAGCUUGACUGUAUCACGUUUGUAUUGCAGCACUCAGCCUAACCUCCUUACAAGUGUGAGCAGCUGCACUGCAACGGCCUACCCAAGCCACACUGACCCCACAGACAAUGGUACUCUCCCAUGGAAGGUACUAAGGCUGCUGAGCGUUCAUCUCGCAUUCUUUUUGCUACACCAACCUGGGACAUUUUAUUAUUCUUUUUCAGUAAUCUAAUCAUCUUUCUUGACACAGAGAAUUACGAAAGACCACUGAAUAAUUACAAUAUAGCAACUAGAAUAAUUUAGCUUUCAUGUAUACUGCAAAAAAGUUGACCUGAAACUUGACCUGUGCCCUGCGGUAAACAACGGAUCAAAACACUGUAAACCAAAAUGAGAGAACUGUGUGGUCUGCAGGGGAAAAGAUGUUUAGAGUGACAACCUGUUAAGAGCUGAUACCAAAUUGGCAAUGAAAAGAAAUUUAUUACUUCUCCUCCAUGGGGAAAGUACCCUACAUUGACUACUCCAGCAGAACUCAAGGUAAAAACCUCUCUUAAAUUAAGAAUGGUGGAAGUGCUUUCCGACCCAAGUAUUUCACAGACCAUCAUCACAAGUAACUAAAAGUAUAAUCUAGCAAUUAUCUAACUUCCUGUACUGAACCUCUGCACAGCCUUAUGACAAAACUCACAUUAGGGCAGUUUAUGUGUGAAGUAAACUCAGUCCACGUGUGAAAACCACAAGAAAGAAGAGUUAAGAUUUUGCUGUUGAGGAGGCUAAACACAGGUAAAAGUCAAAGACAGAAGGCACAUUGAAAGAAAGGUAACUACUGUAAACAAAAAGUAUCUUUGAAAUGAGGCCUUCCCUAGCCAUCAGAAAUAAUAGAUUUGGAGCAGCUUUCUUACAUUGCUACGGACAAAGAACCUACCUAGUUGUAAACUUGAUAUACUCAUUCUGGAAGUGUGAUCUAUCUGCCCAUCAUGGCACCAAACUGAGUUUAAUGGUGGAGAGAAAGCCUCUUCCUGGGUGUUUCAAAAAUAAAAAGCAGUUUCA